rnacentral:tRNA from 1 species
GCGGGCGUGUUGAAAUUGGUAGACAAGCUAGACUUAGGAUCUAGUGCCUGGUGCGUAUGGGUUCGAGUCCCUUCGCCCGCA